AACGAACGCUGGCGGCAUGCUUAACACAUGCAAGUCGAACGAGACGGCCGUGCUUAGUGGCGCACCUCUGCGUGCCGCGGGGUGACUAGCACGUAGGUAAGCAACCCUUGACUUAAGGGUGAGUUCAGGCAGCUGAGUCUCUUCCCACCAAAGAUCUAUUGCCGUUGGAUGGGCCCGCGUUGGAUUCGCCAGUUGGUAGGGUACAAGCCUACCAAGGCGACGAUCCAUAGCUGGUCUGAGAGGAUGAUCAGCCACACUGGGACUGAGACACGGACCAGACUCCUACGGGAGGCAGCAGUGGGGAAUAUUGGACGAUGGGCGAAAGCCUGAUCCAGCAAUGCCGCGUGAGUGAUGAAGGCCUUAGGGUUGUAAAGCUCUUUUACCCGGGAUGAUAAUGACAGUACCGGGAGAAUAAGCUCCGGCUAACUACGUG
rnacentral:rRNA from 1 species